GGGCUGUUCUCCCAGUUUGUGUUCAUGUCUAAGAUUGUCCUCACCCAGGUGCAGCACCUUGUACUUGGACUAGUUGAAUUUUGUGAGGUUCUUGUGGACCCAUUUCUCAUUUUUGUCCAGAGUUGCACCGUGGAUAAACUGAAGGCCAUAUAGUGUGAAAUGAAUAAAAAUACUCAGAUUGUUUACGCUGCUCUCUCUCCAGGACAAAACUCUCAAACGACUGGUGUGUAAAAGAGGAGAAUGGGCGAACCACGUGCCAGGCUACUGGAGGCCUGUCCUUUUCAUACCCUGUAAUUUUGCAGGGGAUUGUUUCAGCAGCGAAGAACAGAACAGAAGUUUAGAUGAUAGAAAAACAUGGGACCAUGUCUGAAAAAAAUGGAAUAUAAAGUACAGAAAAAACGUGCAAAGGAUGGAAAAAUAAUGCACAGGGAAACUCUGUAAUAAGCUUAAGCACAGCUGUGAGAAACUGUUCACUACUGUAUGAACCGUGGGUUAAGUGAAGGAGGGGAAAAGUGAAGAUGAGGAACGUGCAGAAGAAAAGACACAAACUCUGUUUUGGACAAUUUGGAUUUGCCCCUGGUCAUCCUGAUGUUUGCAGCAGGCCUGGCGACCAAGUGUGUUGGCUGCAUUUCAGUUUGUGGGCCAGCAAGAGUUUUAUCCCUUCCCUCAUCUCAUGUGUCACCCUGGUGCAGUGUGACUAUCAGUGCUCGCUUUUGUGUUCCCAGUGUGUGUGUGUCUGUGUGUGUCUGUGUGCAGGUGGAGUGCGUGCGCAUUAAGUGAGGUGGUGCCUGCAACUGAGCAGAGGAAGGAGGGAUGAAAGUGGUUAUGGGCACUCCUCUGACCCUCAAGAAUCCUGCUGUGCUGCUGCACUGCUUCUGUGGCUCGGAUCCAGCAGAGCUCUCGUGAAUGCCCUUUGCCUCCAGUGUGUGGUAGCUUACACCUCUGCUCUGCAGGAAUGCUUCAGCCUCCAGCCCUGGGGCUCUGCUGGCAGUCAAAGCUGGAGCACAGGAGGAAGGAAGGGUAGCACAAGCUGUUGAGAUGAGAGGGGGAAAGCAUACUCUGAGGUGCUGUCAUGAUGGCUGUGUACACCCUGGAAAAGUGGGAGAAAAAAAAGUGGAAAAACUGGUGACGGGGAAGGAAGUUUGCAUGCUCCCAUAUGCAAACAUAUGUUUGGUAAAACUCAGGGAAU